rnacentral:lncRNA from 1 species
CAAGAGUAAGCAGGAAGUAAGAUAGGAACAAAGUACACGGACGAAUCUUUAAGUAAGAUGAACUAACAUUCUCCUGCAAUUAUUGGUCUAAGAAAAAGCAGUAAAGCAGUCCAGAUCAUAAUUUCUGGUUAUUCAUGUUCUUGUUCGUCAACUACUGCCUCAUCAUGCUAUCCUUAAAACCACCUUUCAUGCACAUUUCUCCUUUUACUUUCUUGCCUUUCCUUGAUUUCCCUUUCCUGUCAUUGUUCGAUGGGGCCUUCGUCUCCGUGUAAAAGCAAACUCUCCAAAUUUAUGGCCAACCUUCCCUUCAGUGAUCUUGCACCGGACAUGAGUUUUCCCAUUGUAAAUGAGCACAGAGGAACCAACAAAUUCCGGCAAAAUAGAGGAUCUACGAGACCAAAUCUUCUUGCCAUUCAUAUUUUCUCUGUUCUUCUUAAUUCUAGACAGGAAAGCGUCAACGAAUGCUCCCUUCCAUAGAGCCCUUGAGCUGAAAGCACGAGCCGCUGCUCCAAGGCCGGAGAGCAGAGGAGAUGCGGUGUGCUGGGAUCUGGGAGCCUGAGAGAUGGCCGAAGCGGCGGCAGCGGGGAGGGCAUGGCUAGAUCUGGCGAAAGUAGAGGCGAUGAGAGAACCAAUCGCCAUGGCUUUCGCUUAGGCUUGGGCUCGGCUCCCGGCGGCAGCGGCGGCGGCGCCGUGUUGAGACAGAGACAAGGAAGAAAUGGUGAGAUCCCAAACAAAACCUACCUGGGCGGCGUGGCGGCGGGCCUGUUCUCGCAAUGCGUUGAGUUGGGCC